rnacentral:lncRNA from 1 species
UGGUGCUUGGCUUGUCUUCUUCCAUAGGUUCUGUUCAGUGUGGCCUGCUGUUCAGGGUGAGAUGUGGGCACAGUUUGGCCCUUGAUUGCCAAGGUUCUGGGUUCUCCUGAGAGGCCUGGUCCUACCCCAGGGGAACAGUCCCCCACAUCCCUCUGCGGUGCAGGGUUCUGAGUUCUAUUGUUUGGGGCUUAUUGUAGACAGGUGGACUUGAGACGUGCUUCCGUCUACCUGAGGGUGACUGGGCCUGGCUCCCUCCUUCUAGCUGUCAUUCAAAGGGUUCUCUCCCCAUAAAGCCAGACCUGGCUUCCCAGAACAUGAGCCACAUACCAGCAGUGUGUGAUCAGGGGUACAGUGGACAUGAGGCCUGGUCUCUGCAUAGAGGCAAGCAUUGACCUCAGAAGUUUGCUUUGCCUCUCCCUUGGGUCCAAGGAGCUCCACACCCCAGUGCUUCCAGACUUGGCCAUGACCAACCGCCCCUCCACGUGCCUCUCUCUCUUUUUUUUUUUAAAAAAAGAUUUAUUUAGGGGCUGGGGAUUUAGCUCAGUGGUAGAGCGCUUACCUAGGAAGCGCAAGGCCCUGGGUUCGGUCCCCCAGCUCCGAAAA